AUUGAACGCUGGCGGCAUGCUUUACACAUGCAAGUCGAACGGUAACAGGCCGCAAGGUGCUGACGAGUGGCGAACGGGUGCGUAAUGCAUCGGAACGUGCCCAGUCGUGGGGGAUAACUACUCGAAAGAGUAGCUAAUACCGCAUACGAUCUAUGGAUGAAAGCGGGGGACCGUAAGGCCUCGCGCGAUUGGAGCGGCCGAUGUCAGAUUAGGUAGUUGGUGGGGUAAAGGCUCACCAAGCCAACGAUCUGUAGCUGGUUUGAGAGGACGACCAGCCACACUGGGACUGAGACACGGCCCAGACUCCUACGGGAGGCAGCAGUGGGGAAUUUUGGACAAUGGGCGCAAGCCUGAUCCAGCAAUGCCGCGUGCAGGAAGAAGGCCUUCGGGUUGUAAACUGCUUUUGUACGGAACGAAACGGCUCUGGUUAAUACCCGGGGCUAAUGACGGUACCGUAAGAAUAAGCACCGGCUAACUACGUG
rnacentral:rRNA from 1 species